UGAAUCUUUAUUUUUAGUAUGUUUUUUUAAAAAGCAUCAUUAGAAACUUUCAAUACAGAAAUAAUCCUAGUAAACCAUUGGAAAGUCUGUUUGACAGGAAUCUCGCAUCAAGUCCAUCUAGCCCUGGGACCCCCGGCACUCGCUAACCCCGGUUCAUGCCUGCGGCACUCAGCGGGACGGGGGGCCAUCACCCCACACCUGAGCCUGGAUGUCCAGAUGCCAGAAGCCCUCCAGUGCUCCAGCCUGGCUUAAUGCUCAGGCAAGCGUGACACCCCACCGCGGGAGCCCCGAGCCCUGCGCAUGCCCACCAGGCAGGCGCCUCCUCAGCCAGGACAAUGCCAAGGACGGGGACUGCGCUGCUGCUCCAGCUCCGCAGACAAGGCUGCCUGCCGCUCAGCCCGCCAGCGCAGCGCCCAUCCACGCCCGCAGCUCCAAGGUGAAGGCCUUGUCACAUGGGACCCCAGCUUUUGACACUUUGGACAAGUGGAGAGACAGGUGAGAAGAAACCCCCAGUUUUUAUUGAUUAAAAACCCAUCCACAGUGUUAACAUGGAAAUUCUGCAGUCAGUGAUUGUCCAGUCAGGGCUGUGCCUGGAAAUCGCCUAGGACAGGAAAUCUAGUAAAACACAUCAUGGUGUUGAGAUCAGUUCUUCGCAGGUACGUGAUCCUUUUAGGGGAGAAGGGAAUGAAGUGUGCUGGGAGGAGCAGUCAUCAAAUGCAGGUGGCCUUGGCUUUUCCUCCAGGGAACCGGCCUCCAUCAAAACGGGCUGCCCCCACCCACGGCCAUUUCUUCCCACAAUGCUACAAAUCCUACCACCUUCACACGAAAACAGCUCUGUCAGUGACCCAGUGCUGCCGCCCCAGCUCAGAGGCGUCACCCCAUCAUUUGACAGCCCCUGAUGUCCACUCCCACAUCGAGGUGCUAGUACACAGACUCCAAACCCCAGCAGGCGGCCCCUGGGCCCACAAGGUCCAGGGUGCAGGGCCCCUUCUCUUUUCCCAAGAAAUGGAAAGAGCCUGGGCCCCAGAUGACGGGAAGCAAUUCGCUGCUCUAAACGCGCUAGACCCUACAGGGGGACGGCACCCUGCACUGCGGGGCCAGCCAAGCCUUGGGAAGAAAAUAAUUGAGGAGCUUAAUUAAUUUGAUUUGGCUUCAUGUUUAUCAGUUAAAAUAAUGCUCCUAUUCCACCCUGCUGCCCCCCACAAGCCCCGUCUCUGCAGGCAUACCCCUACCUGUCUGCUGAAACCACAAACGAGUAGGCCAAAGCUGAAUUACAAGCCAUGUGCUCC